rnacentral:rRNA from 1 species
AUUGAACGCUGGCGGCAUGCCUUACACAUGCAAGUCGAACGGCAGCGCGGGUGCAUUCCUGGCGGCGCGUGGCGCACGGGUGUGUAAUACACAGGAGCGUGCCCACUCGUGGGGGGUAUCGCAGGGAAAACGGUGCUAAUAUAGCGCACGAUCUCCGGGGGAGAGAAGGGGAUCGCAAGAGCUUGCGCGCUUGGAGCGUCCGAUGGCAGUGUAGCUAGUUGGUGGGGUAAAGGCCCACAAAGGCGACGAUCUGUAGCUGGUCUGAGAGGACGACCAGCCACACUGGGACUGAGACACGGCCCAGACUCCUACGGGAGGCAGCAGUGGGGAAUUUUGGACAAUGGGCGAAAGCCUGAUCCAGCAAUGCCGCGUGUAUGAAGAAGGACUUCGGGUUGUAAACUGCUUUUGUACGGAAAGAAACGGUCGUUUCUAAUAAAGAAGGCUAAUGACGGUACCGGAAGAAUAAGCACCGGCUAACUACGUG